rnacentral:lncRNA from 1 species
AAGUCCUCUGGUUAUAAGACAUUUUUCUGAGUUGGCUCUACGGGCUAUCAUUACAUCAACGAGUCAGUUAUGCAAUUUGAUCUCCAAGACUAAAUCACUAUGUUUGGAAACAGUUAUGAUUGAUAUUGAUCCAUCAUUGAGAAUUCCAUUGACUUAUUGACUGAAGGUUAUUGCUGGAAAAUAUCGAUAGCAGAUUCCAUCGUUACUUUUUUUGGCUGAGCAGAUUGAAUUUUGUAAAUUCAAAAGAGAACAUAGGAAAUACUCCCAAAGCACGCUUGGUAAAUAUUGUUGUUAAUUUUAAGUAACGCUUUUAAUUUUCAGCAAUGGCUCUUAUUUGGAAAAUGCCAUCAACAUCUUUGUACAAACUUAUAUAGAGCGAAGGAAUACUGAAAUUACCAUCUCUUCAGUGGUUAACAAGGCUCUCAAGCUGCUUUUCAGUCGAUACAGGACUUAGUCAUCAAACCGUCAAAUAUGAGAACAAAGUCAAUAAUCUCAACGAUAGAGAAAAAAUUGUAACCAUUAUUAUGGAUGAAAUAUAUGGGCCAAAAAUUUUGAGUAUACAGGAGGGGAAUUUGACGGCAUUGAACAAGGAGGGGAUACAACAACCCAGACUUUAGCUUGUGUGAUGAUCAAGAGCUUAAGUAACAAAUAUGAAGACACUAUUGCAAUGGUACCUUUGACAAAAUUAGAUUGUAAAAUUGUAGAAGAUUAUUACUAAGUUGUAAAAGUAAUUACACCUGUUGAACCAGCUGCAUUGCUUCAUGGAUUUUCAGGAAACAGAAAAUUCUACACUCAAGAGCUUUGCAACAGCACAUUUGAUAUGGAUAUAGUCAACCCUUGUAAUAGUGAAAAAAAGUUAUUUUUGCUAUCUGAUUCAGAGCAUAUACAACAACUUAUUGGGAAGAAAGUUUUUAAAAUGCCCUUCGUUUUAUGGUGAAGAAAUGAUUGCUGAAUUUAUCCAUUUAAAAAAGUUCGAGUUUCAUCUCGAGAAAACAAAACCUCAACCUGUGAAGUAUACACACAAAUUAAAUGACUAAAUUCUUAACCCUAACCCGAUUGAAAAAAAACAAAAAACAUCGUCUAACCUACCAGAUGCCUUCUUCCAUGAAAGUAACAUUUAUGGUCUUGAAUUUUAUGCAAAGAAUGGUUACCCUGAAUUCCAAACAACAGCAAACUUUGUUAAGCUUAUUAGGCGCUGGUGGAAUUUAUUCAACUACAUGCCUUUGAAAAAGAAAGAUCCGAAUCGUGAACCCAUAACACCAUUUAAUUUUGAACUAAAGAAUUUUUUGCAAAAAAAUUAUUAAUUGUUUGGAGAAUUUUCGAACUAACUCAUCAAAAGAAAAUUGUUUUAGUGCUGAGACAUUUUUAACAUGAAUCCAAACAACUUCUGCUAUGAUGCACUUGACUCAAUAUUUAAUUUUCAAUAAAAUUUUUAGUCAUGUUUUAACUGGACAAAUUCAGUCAGGCCCAUUGGAACGAAAGUUUGGUUUCUAUCGAUAUAGUAGUGGAUGCAACUAUUACACGAGUGUGGGGCAGUUCCUCUAAACA